UACGUAGGGGGCAAGCGUUGUCCGGAUUUAUUGGGCGUAAAGAGCGUGUAGGCGGUCUGGUAGGUCCGUUGUGAAAACUCGAGGCUCAACCUCGAGACGCCGAUGGAAACCCUCAGACUAGAGUCCGGAAGAGGAGAGUGGAAUUCCUGGUGUAGCGGUGAAAUGCGCAGAUAUCAGGAAGAACACCAAUGGCGAAAGCAGCUCUCUGGGACGGUACUGACGCUGAGACGCGAAAGCGUGGGGAGCGAACAGG
rnacentral:rRNA from 1 species